GCCUACGGGAGGCAGCAGUGAGGAAUAUUGGUCAAUGGCCGAGAGGCUGAACCAGCCAAGUCGCGUGAGGGAAGAAUGUCCUAUGGAUUGUAAACCUCUUUUGUCAGGGAGCAAUUGGCGCUACGUGUAGCGUUAUCGAGAGUACCUGAAGAAAAAGCAUCGGCUAACUCCGUGCCAGCAGCCGCGGUAAUACGGAGGAUGCGAGCGUUAUCCGGAUUUAUUGGGUUUAAAGGGUGCGUAGGCGGAAUGCCAAGUCAGCGGUAAAAUCGCGGGGCUCAACCUCGCUCCGCCGUUGAAACUGGCGU
rnacentral:rRNA from 1 species